UACGUAGGUGACAAGCGUUGUCCGGAUUUACUGGGCGUAAAGAGCGCGCAGGCGGUCGUUCAAGUCGCGUGUGAAAGCCCCCGGCUCAACUGGGGAGGGUCACGCGAUACUGUUCGACUCGAAGGCAGGAGAGGGAAGUGGAAUUCCCGGUGUAGUGGUGAAAUGCGUAGAUAUCGGGAGGAACACCAGUGGCGAAGGCGACUUCCUGGACUGUUCUUGACGCUGAGGCGCGAAAGCUAGGGGAGCAAACGGG
rnacentral:rRNA from 1 species